AUAGAAUUAGUUUAUUAAAACUUUAAAAUGUCAUUUUAAAAAUAUACCAAUUAUUUGUAUAUUCUAUC
rnacentral:tRNA from 1 species